rnacentral:rRNA from 1 species
GACGAACGCUGGCGGCGUGCCUAAUACAUGCAAGUUGAGCGCUGAAGGUUGGUACUUGUACCAACUGGAUGAGCAGCGAACGGGUGAGUAACGCGUGGGGAAUCUGCCUUUGAGCGGGGGACAACAUUUGGAAACGAAUGCUAAUACCGCAUAAAAACUUUAAACACAAGUUUUAAGUUUGAAAGAUGCAAUUGCAUCACUCAAAGAUGAUCCCGCGUUGUAUUAGCUAGUUGGUGGGGUAAAGGCUCACCAAGGCGACGAUACAUAGCCGACCUGAGAGGGGGAGGGACCACACUGGGACUGAGACCGGGCCAAGACUCCUCAGGGAGGCAGCAGUAGGGAAGCUUACGCAAAGGACGAAAGUCUACCGGAGCAAGGCCGGGUGAGUGAAGAAGUUUUUCGGACAGUAAAACUCUGUGGUAAGGGAAGACCAAGUACGUUAGUAACUGAACGUACCUUGACGGUACCUUACCAGAAAGCCACGGCUAACUACGUG